AUGAGUAGAAGAAACGGAAGCGGGCCAAAGCUUGAUUUGAAGCUGAACCUAUCACCACCAAGAGUCGAACGAAGAAGAAUGGAUUCAUCACCAACACGAUCAGCUUCGGUGUCGCCGCCGAGUUCUUGUGUGUCAUCAGAGAAUGGACCAAACAGCCCCGAAGCAACCUCGAUGCUACUCGUUGGUUGUCCUCGUUGUCUCAUGUAUGUCAUGCUCUCCGAGAAUGAUCAAAAAUGUCCCAAAUGUGAAAGCACCGUUUUGCUUGAUUUUCUCAACAACAAUAAGAAAAAUUAG